rnacentral:rRNA from 1 species
ACGGGAGGCAGCAGUGGGGAAUAUUGCACAAUGGGGGAAACCCUGAUGCAGCGACGCCGCGUGAGUGAUGAAGUAUUUCGGUAUGUAAAGCUCUAUCAGCAGGGAAGAUAAUGACGGUACCUGACUAAGAAGCCCCGGCUAACUACGUGCCAGCAGCCGCGGUAAUACGUAGGGGGCGAGCGUUAUCCGGAAUUACUGGGCGUAAAGCGCAUGUAGGCUGUACGGUAAGUCAGUGGUGAAAUCCCUGGGCUCAACCUGGGAACUGCCAUUGAAACUGCCGAACUGGAGUGUGAGAGAGGAUAGCGGAAUUCCAGGUGUAGGAGUGAAAUCCGUAGAUAUCUGGAAGAACAUCAGUGGCGAAGGCGGCUAUCUGGCUCAUUACUGACGCUGAGAUGCGAAAGCGUGGGUAGCAAACAGGAUUAGAUACCCUGGUA